GCGCCCGUAGCUCAGUUGGAUAGAGCACUUGGCUUCGAACCAAGGGGUCGGGAGUUCGAAUCUCUCCGGGCGCACCA
rnacentral:tRNA from 1 species